UACGGAGGGUGCUAGCGUUGUUCGGAAUUACUGGGCGUAAAGGGCGCGUAGGCGGCCGUUUGCGUCGGAUGUGAAAGCCCGGGGCUCAACCUGGGAACUGCGUCCGAUACUGGCAGGCUUGAAUCCGGGAGAGGGAUGUGGAAUUCCCGGUGUAGCGGUGAAAUGCGCAGAUAUCGGGAGGAACACCAAUGGCGAAGGCAGCUCGCUGGGACGGUACUGACGCUGAGACGCGAAAGCGUGGGGAGCAAACAGG
rnacentral:rRNA from 1 species